CAGGGGAGAGGCAGAGAGAGAUGGGGACAGAGGAUCCCAAGCGGGCUCUGCACUGACACCAUGGAACCUGAUGCGGGAGCUCGAACUCAGGAGCCAUGAGAUCAUGACAUGAGCUGAAGUCGGACGCUCAGAUGACUGAGCCACCCAGGGGCCCCAUCCCAGACUGUUUUUCUAUAUCUCUUUUGAGCUAUCAGGAUUACCUGGUGCUUAUUAAACUGUUCUUUCAGUGACUUAAUACUGUGGAGGGAGGGCUUGAACUGAGCCUGAGGUAAACCCUUGCUCAGAGACUCACCCCAGGUUGAAUGGACCUUUCCUCACAGACCACCCCCCCCCCCCAGAUAACUUUCCCAGGGCCCCUGCAGGGGCUCCCCAUGGCUUCCAAGUCCCCCUUAAUUAUUUGUUUUAAAGUAGAGCAUUCCUUUAACUGCUGGGAGAAGUUGCUUCUUCCCACAAACGUCACCCUCCUGUAGGCAGGCAAGGCAGCCUCUCGGUUUUAUUCUCUUCGUCUGACAUCCAGCUCCAGGACCUCUGGGGCAUAGAUACCCCCUGUGAGGACAAUGAUGGCGUCUGUGGUGUGGCCAUGAGAAGAGACUGCUGGUACACAGACAAUUUCUUAUCUGGUUUCUCACCCUUCUUCCACAUAAGGCAGGAAGGCCCCUGGGGGUUGCUCAUGCUUGAUUCACACCAAAGGGUAUGAAAGAAUCCACUCUGGGCUUGGGGCCUACCAGCCUCAGGCCCGGAGGAAGCUUGCUGGAGGUGAGGGCAGAGAGGGAAUGGAAGGGGCCUGGAACUGCAGCCCCUGGGGAGCGUGCAGUGUAGCCUGAACAAGCAGAGAUGAUGUGCUGACGACACAGGUGUGAGCUCUGCCACCCGAGAACCUUGUUUCCUCAUUCAGAAGUGUGGCUAGCGCUCUCAGUGCUGAGGGUGGGUAUGAGAACUCAGAGUUCACAGCAGGGCCUGGGCACAGGAGGAACUCUCUAAAGGGGUUUUCGUUCCUCUUCUUUGGGACAGACACAGAAAUGAACUUGACACUGGUGAGGAAGACAGGGCCUGUUGGCAGAGACCCCAGGGAAGGUCCUGGAGGGGCUGGGACAGACUCUACUCGCCAUAGCCCAUCCCUGGAGGCCCCAGAUCUCCUAAGAGACUCCAGGAGCUGAGAGGUCAGCCCUGCCCUCCUGGCCUCACACUCAGAGGGCCCUCUGAGCGGCUCUGUGGACACAGCGAGCCCUGUACACGGGGCAGAUGGCUGCCCAGAGGAGGGGCUGGCAGGGAGAAGGGGUGAGGCCUGACCACUGAGGAAGGAAUGACGAGAAUGAGGCUCUGACUCAUCCUCAGGCUUCUGCUCUCAGAAGGAAAGGAUUUACUUGGGGGUGUGGCUGGAAGGGAGCCAAGCCGGAGGACGCAGUGAAAAACGAGGGUGCUUAAGGCCUCUUAGCUCCGGGAUAAAUCAUCCUGGGAAGGGCCCGUUCAAAAACACAACUCUAUCAGUGGUCUCUGCUUUCUUCUGAGCCAUCCUUCCCAAUGGAAGUGGUGGUAGGAGGCCCCACUGGCCAGGUCAGGCAGGAUGCCUUUCCCGAGCCCUGGGCAGAGUCCUGUUGUGGGUACCAUCCCCCAGAAGGCAGGCAGACUUGGGGUUCCAGAUCCACUUGGGCAGAGCCAGUGUUUGCCAUCACAUCUUGUUCUCUCUACUCUCUACUCUCCUCUCUACUCGUCCCCACCUCACCAAGCCAACAGGGGACUGUUUAAUGGGACAGCUUUUUCUAUAUGGCACAAACAGUCCUAAAUAGCACAGAGGAACUUAUGGACCAGUAGUGGUGAUCCUGGGUAUCAAUUUGUGUGCGUUAUUUGCAUAGGGGUAGGUAGGUAGGCCUCUGAGGAGGAAGUUUGGUGAGUAGUAGAGGUGGGGCAGGGAGAGAAGAAAGGGGCACAGGCCUGACCUUCUGUAUCACUAGAAUUUUGGUUGGAAGUAAAAGCAAAUCCUAUUUUUUGCUUAAUGCUGGCCUUGGAAAUGAAGUCCAAGUGGUGGGGCUGGCUUCAGAUAAGGCUUCAUCAGGAACUCUAAAUGAUGUCAUCAAGACCCGGUGUUCCCUGUUGUCUUUGGCCUCAGCUCCUCUCCAGGUAACAGCUCAAGCCAGGACAGGUUCCACACCUUGGGGGCAAGAUGCCUGCAGAAGCUUUGAGCCUCACGCCCUCUCCCCCCAGGGCAAAGAACCAGUCUGCUUUGCUGAGAGCUCAAAAUGCUGGAACUGAGUUUCACUGGCUCUGAUUGGUCUGACUUUGGUCGUGUACCCAUCCCUUAACCGGUGACAACCAGGGGGAUGGAGUAUACUAAGAGGGGGUGGGACACAGUCUCCUCGGGAUCCAGAUGUGGGUGUGUGGGACCGGGAUCUUCACAGGGAGCGUGGUCAUGAUGGCGAAGGAGGUGGUUAUCCUGGAAUCAUAACCUGAGUAGGGGCUGUUACUAAUCACUGCGGAAGUCGAGGCUCUAGGUUGAGCUUUUAGGAGCGUCCCCGUAAGUCACACUGAGGAACUGGGCCACCAAGAGAGCGGCGGCUGUGUCUUCUGCAAUCAGAAGGCACUGCCAACAAUGCAUUCAGAAGACACCCCAGUCGUGAAACCGCUCUUCCAGCGGCUCCAGAAGCACGGUGUGCCUGACAUGAUCCAGGCACACUGGGUGCCCACGUCCUUCCUCUCAACACCCACCAAGCCAGCACCUGGACCCUUGAGUUUUGCUGACACCAUUGAGAAAAUUUCAACCUACUGAAAAAUUAGAAGAAUACAAUGAGCACCUAUGAACGUUUCACCUAGAUUCGUCAACCAUUGACAUUUUGCCACAUUUGCUUUCUUUCCCUCUCUCUUACAGGAAGUUAGUUGCAAGUUUGCUGACGAUUUCCUCUGACCAGAUGAGCUAUUAUCUCACAAAAGCAAGGAUGUUCUCCUCUAUUAUCACUAUUAUCACACUCAAUAAAUUUAAAUAAAU